rnacentral:rRNA from 1 species
CAAUCGAACUCGGAGAUAGCUGGUUCUCCCCGAAAUAGCUUUAGGGCUAGCGUCGGAUAUGUGUAGUGGAGGUAGAGCACUGAAUGGGCUAGGGGGCAUAUCGCUUACCGAACCUUAUCAAACUCCGAAUGCCAUAUACAUUAAGUCCGGCAGUCAGACUACGAAUGAUAAGAUCCGUGGUCAAAAGGGAAACAGCCCAGACCGUCAGCUAAGGUCCCAAAGUGUAAGUUAAGUGGAAAAGGAUGUGGGAUUUCUAAGACAACUAGGAUGUUGGCUUAGAAGCAGCCACUCAUUUAAAGAGUGCGUAAUAGCUCACUAGUCGAGAGAUCCUGCGCCGAAAAUGUACCGGGGCUAAACUUACCACCGAAGCUACGGAUUUGCAAGUAAUUGCAAGUGGUAGGGGAGCGUCGUAAUCGGGCUGAAGUCGUACCGGAAGGAGCGGUGGACUGAUUACGAGUGAGAAUGUUGGCAUUAGUAGCGAGAUGUAGGUGAGAAUCCUACAGGCCGAAUAUCUAAGGUUUCCUCAGGAAGGCUCGUCCGCUGAGGGUUAGUCGGGACCUAAGCCGAGGCCGAAAGGCGUAGGCGAUGGACAAUCGGUUGAUAUUCCGAUACCACUACCAUCGUUAUUAUCGAGGGUGUGACGGAGAAGGAUAGUGUGUGCUAGCGAUUGGAAAUGCUAGUCUAAGCGUUUAGGGAGUUACGGUAGGCAAAUCCGCUGUAACAAUUCUGAGGCGUGAUGGGGAAGGUCAUUAAGACCGAAGUACAUGAUUCCAUGCUUCCAAGAAAAGCAUCUAGAGAGAGAAGUAGUGCCCGUACCGCAAACCGACACAGGUAGAUGAGGAGAGAAUCCUAAGGCCGGCGGAAGAAUUGCAGUUAAGGAACUAGGCAAAUUGACCCCGUAAGUUCGCGAGAAGGGGUGCCUGCGAGAGCAGGCCGCAGAGAAUAGGCCCAAGCAACUGUUUAGCAAAAACACAGGUCUCUGCUAAAGCGUAAGCUGAUGUAUAGGGGCUGACGCCUGCCCGGUGCUGGAAGGUUAAGGGGAACACUUAGCGCAAGCGAAGGUGUGAACUUAAGCCCCAGUAAACGGCGGCCGUAACUAUAACGGUCCUAAGGUAGCGAAAUUCCUUGUCAGGUAAGUUCUGACCCGCACGAAUGGCGUAAUGACUUGGGCACUGUCUCAACUGCAAAUCCGGCGAAGUUGUAGUGCGAGUGAAGAUGCUCGCUACCCGCGAUUGGACGGAAAGACCCCGUAGAGCUUUACUGUAGCUUAGCAUUGAAUUCCGGUAUUGUCUGUACAGGAUAGGUGGGAGACUGGGAAACUAGGGCGUCAGCCUUAGUGGAGUCAACCUUGGGAUACCACCCUGACAGUACUGGGGUUCUAACAGGACGCCAUGAAGCUGGUGACUGGACAUUGUUAGGUGGGCAGUUUGACUGGGGCGGUCGCCUCCUAAAAAGUAACGGAGGCGCCCAAAGGUUCCCUCAGAACGGUCGGAAAUCGUUCGUAGAGUGCAAAGGCAGAAGGGAGCCUGACUGCGAGACCUACAAGUCGAGCAGGGACGAAAGUCGGGCUUAGUGAUCCGGUGGUACCGAGUGGAAGGGC